UUGUGCUUACCUUGCAUAAUACUGCAAUGAUUCAUUUGAGUGCCCAAUUAGUUAUAAAAAUGUUGUGAUAGACGUCCGUUGACGUUACACGUCAAACAACACCCAUUGCAAAAAGCAGGAAAUCUUUUUUUUAAAUACACGAUCAUUUGUAUUCAUCUUAGUUAAAUGACACAUUUACAUAUAUAAUGUUAUAAUAUCUGCUUUCACAAUUUAAAGUGGAUGAUUGCCAAAACUGUGCUGUCAAAAUCGGUGAUUCAUACUCCACUCCAGUUGGUGGCGGUAAUGCGCCUUCAGUUGAUUUACCAUCAGCAAUAAACUCUAAAGAAGAAGAAGACUCGGGAAUGGCGGUGUGGUUUAUUUCGAAAAGUGACGGAGUUAUACAAAUACUACUGUUGGGAUUCCAAAGGAAAAUUUUCCAUGCUUUUCGGUUUUAAAGAUGAACUUCAGUGAAUAUCUGGCAUUCUGGAACAUGGCAAGUCUACAUCUUCUAUUAAGAGAUUGCAUUGUGACAAAGAAUGUGUGUGUUUGUGCGGAUGUAGUUUGUGUUUGUUUGUUUUUCUCUAUCUCUUUCUCUGUGUAGAUACAAAUAUUUGGGUAGUAAACAAAAGAACCAUAGUGACAGCAACAAAUCUGAAAACAAAACUGUAAUUUUUCUGAGGUGAAGUAAUCCGGAGUCAUUUAUUUCACAGAAUCACGUUAAAUGCAUUUAUGGUGAAAUUCAUUAUGAGGGGUGGUGGUCAACUUAAAAAGAAGCCAUUCAAAGCUAUACUAUGUAAUUCAAGGUAAUUUUGGCCUUAUGACAUUGCAAAAAUCUCUUGUUCCUUGUCUAUUUUUUCAUUUAUGUAAUUUUUAUUUUCUCUAUUUAGUGGACUUCUCUGUAAGAACAUCAGGUUUUACCAGAAAUACCACUUUUACAAAGUUUACAGGGUCUUUCUCAAGGGCACCGCUAAUCUAACAUAUAUUCUUUGUCACAAUCUAGACUCUUCAUAGAAGAUGAAGACUUGCCAUGAUCAAGAAUACCAGCUAUUUGCUGAAGUUCAUCUUUCAAAACGAACAGCAUGGAGUACAGUACUCAUCAGAUGCUGUGAACAGGUGUAGCCCAAAUGCAACAGAUUCAGACUUUGAUGCAGCAAUGGCGGAACACAUGAAGCACACUGGGGUUGAUGGAUACUUGUUUUAUGGCUGGUUUAACAGUAAUACAAGACUGUUAGGAAAUAAUUUGGUAGUGCCAUAGCUCUGACUUCCAUGCAUCAAUGGUGGAACACAUGAAUCACACUCCUGGCAGAGCCGGUGGUCGGGGACCAAGAAAAUGAGUAAACAUUUUGAAAAAAAUGGACUAAAGUAGUGUCAUAUGUUUUUGUAAUACUGUACUUUUGUCAUUUUCAUGUUUGAUUAAUGGCUGCUAAACAUCAAUGUUAAACUCCAUUGCUUUCGAGAUUCUACUGUUUUUAUUUUCUUGUUUGAAUAGUAGCUGUCAAACAAAUGGAAGACCAUUCAAAAAUGUGAUGUUCACUAUAAAAUAUGCUGUGCUAAAUUAAAACACUAAAUUUUGCCUAAAUCCACAAAUAAAGUGUUAUUGUU